UAGGGAAUCUUCGGCAAUGGGGGGAACCCUGACCGAGCAACGCCGCGUGAGUGAAGAAGGUUUUCGGAUCGUAAAGCUCUGUUGUUAAGGAAGAACGAGUGUGAGAAUGGAAAGUUCAUGCUGUGACGGUACUUAACCAGAAAGGGACGGCUAACUACGUGCCAGCAGCCGCGGUAAUACGUAGGGCGCAAGCGUUAUCCGGAAUUAUUGGGCGUAAAGAGCUUGUAGGCGGUUCGUCGCGUCUGGUGUGAAAGCCCAUCGCUUAACGGUGGGUUUGCGCCGGGUACGGGCGGGCUAGAGUGCAGUAGGGGAGACUGGAAUUCCCGGUGUAGCGGUGGAAUGUGUAGAUAUCGGGAAGAACACCAAUGGCGAAGGCAGGUCUCUGGGCUGUUACUGACGCUGAGAAGCGAAAGCGUGGGGAGCGAACAGG
rnacentral:rRNA from 1 species